GACGAACGCUGGCGGCGCGCUUAACACAUGCAAGUCGAACGGAAAGGCCUGCUUUCCCUUGUGGAUUGCGGGUACUCGAGUGGCGAACGGGUGAGUAACACGUGAGUGAUCUGCCCCCAACUUGGGUAUAAGCCUGGGAAACUGGGUCUAAUUCCCGAUAGGACUGCAGGGUGGUGCCUGUGGUGGAAAACGAUUUUCUAGUGGUUGGGGAUGAGCUCGCGGCCUAUCAGCUUGUUGGUGGGGUAAUGGCCUACCAAGGCGGCGACGGGUAGCCGGCCUGAGAGGGUGGACGGCCGCAUUGGGACUGAGAUACGGCCCAGACUCCUACGGGAGGCAGCAGUGGGGAGUAUUGCACAAUGGGCGGAAGCCUGAUGCAGCGACGCCGCGUGGGGGAUGACGGCCUUCGGGUUGUAAACUCCUUGCGACCGCGAGGAAGCCACCUGGUUGGAAGGGUGGUGACGGUAGUGGUAGAAGAAGCACCGGCUAACUACGUG
rnacentral:rRNA from 1 species